GGAAAUACAUCGUCCGCUUUGGGUAGGAAAAAACAUUAAUUUCUUGAGUGGACUAUCACCAAAAAUCAGAAUCCUCCCUUGGGAAGAAAUGUAGAUGCCAAGACAUGUCCUUGGUGAUCCUAGUAAACCUUGCCCUUGGGUGCGUGAAUCCCGAGGACUUUUCCCAUCAGUGUCACACUCACUCUUUGGGAGCAACAUUAGUUCAGAGUCACGUAGGCUUUUUUUUUCUUUGAAAUAUACAGCUUCCCUUCUCAUUCAAAAUAGGCAAAGAGAAAGAUGGUAGUAGAGUUCCAGAAUGCUUCUAGAACUUCUGCCCUGCCUGUCUGCCUCUCAAUCAAGAGAGGCAGCCAUUGGGAGAGUGGUUUAGCUGAAGGGUGGUGUCGACAGUGAAGGGUCUCAUUGCAACAGGGCACGGGGAAGGCAAGGGUGGUGUUGGCUAAAGAAAGCUGUGGACAAGAACCACCAACUGCAAUGACAUCUAUGGCUACAUGUGAUUGCUUACACAGAACGUCCAUGUGCAUUGUCAUCGGAUCCCCAUAAAAACCCCCAUGAGAUGGGUGGGUUUCGUUAAUAAUUUGGUUUAUGUCCUACCAUGUUCUAAAGAAAUAAUUUAAAGGAUUUGCAUUCAGCAUAGCAAACAAACUACAUUUUAAAACAGGGAUUGAACCUGUACCCUCAUGGAUACUAGUUGGGUUCAUUACUGUUGGAACUCCAGUAAUACAUUUUAGAAUAUUGCAUCCCCCUGGAGAAACAACUGAACUGAUUCCAAUAGCCUUCCACAGAGAAAGCCACUUCUUACUGCAGGCCUUGCCAGUGAAGCUUUUCAGUGUCUCAGCCUCUUACCCUGCCAGGAGGCCUCAUGGUUCCUCAGGGCAUUGCUUUCUCCUAUUUCAGAAGGACAGUGCAUACUUGUGUCAGGUGUGAAAGGAAUCUUUCCUACUUGAUGCCAACAAGAAGUGGCACUAGGGAAGGCUGACCGACAGCAUGUACUCUCUUAACUGGGUUAGUCUUUUUUUUUCUUUUUUUCCUUUUUUUUGGCUGCACAUGCAGCACACAGAAAUUCUUGGGCCAGGGAUCGAACUCAUGCCACAGCAGUGAUAAUGCCAGAUGGAUCCUUUACCACUAGGCCAUCAGGGAACUCCAUAACUGGGUUAUUCUGUGCUCUGCUUAUCUUGUGAGAUCUCCCCACCUUGGUUCAGUUGGCACCCAUAUUUAAAAUCAAUAUUCUUAUUUUCAAGGACACAGCCCUACCAAAGAUGAUUCAGGAGGGUUGCAAAUCUAAAGAUUCUUGAAACUUUACACUGGCCUUUUGAAAUAAAAAUUAUGUACAGAAACUUCUGGGACAAGGUCCUCAAAUAAUUAUUUAACAUCUAAAGUGUUUAUCGGUCUUGGUGUGUGCAGGUCAAACAGCAUAUCAUUUGGAUUGUAAUACUUUAUUCCUGGGGGGGGGCGGUUCUUAUUGUGGCUCAGUGGGUUAACAACCUGACUAGUAUCCAAGAGGAUGCAGGUUUGAUUCCUGGCCUUACUCAGUGGGUUAAGGAUCUGGCAUUGCUGUAAGCUGUGGCGUAGGUCAUGGAUAUGGCUCAGAUCUGGCAUUGCUGUGGCUGUGGUAUAGGCUGGCAGUUAUGGCUCCGAUUCAACCUCUAUUCUGAGAACGUCUAUAUGCCACAGGUUUGGCCCUAAAAAGACAAAAAAAAAAAAUUCUUUGGGGAAUCAAAAAGAGAUGGGGCAGCAUCAGAAGAUAAUUUGAAAAGAAAAACUCAGUAAAUGUUUCAGAUGCCCAGGCUGCGUUUAUUUUAGUGAAAACAUUGUGAUGCACAUGUCUAAGUUUUUUAAGGAAAGGCAGGAUAACUGAAUGUUGGAGAGGUUAAGCAACUCUUCCAGGGUCGUGGUUUUCUUUUUCCUUUUAGUGCCUUGUGGCUGACAAUCCAACAACAGUUGGUUGUGAAGCUCUCCCCAUCCAUUGCUGUUGCUCCUGAGGUCUGCAGUGGAUCCAGAACACCUUAAUAAGAGAAGCCAGGUGCAAGGUGGGGUGCUGAUACAGAAAACUUGUUUCCAAGCUACCUUUGCAGGGCAAGCAAGCUCUUUUUAUUUAGAUUGUUGUUUAUUGCAUGGUUUGGAAUGAGGUGGACUGAAACUAUUAACUCAGUACCGCCCUUUCUCACUGCUUCCAGAGCCAUCCUUAGGCCACCCAGUGGCAUCCUUGCCAUUGUUUUGUUAGAUUUCUCUCUCUCUUUCUUUUUUUUCUUUUGCCAUGCCUGCAGCAUGUGGAAGUUCCUAGGCCAAGGACUGAACCUACACCACAGCAGUGAGCCAAGCUGCUGUAGUGACAGUACUGGAUCCUUAACGAACUGUGCCGCAGGGGAACUCAUCUCUUUAUGUCAAUUCCUAUAACCCUUUAAAAUGAGUAGAAUUAGUGAUCUAAUGUGAUAAUUUAUUAUGUAUCCUUAUUAAUUCAUAGAAAGCAAUGGAUUCCUGGACAUUUUGUAGCUUGGCUUACAAAAGCUUUGUGUUUUGAUGGUGCCUUGGACAAAUGUCCACUGCGCGGUUGGAAGGAGGCACAUCUGCUUGAGCUCUUCUGAACUCUAAGCAAUGAGUUUGAUGUAUUUAUCCUUAGUUAUGCUUAUUAUAGAAUAAUAAGAAAGUAGAAUAAGUAGAAAGGUUAAUGGCUCCCUACUUUGUCCAUAGAUAUAUAAACAUGCCCCUGUGACUUCAGGAUCCUUUGAAGAAAACAUCUGUGUGUGCAGUUAUCAUUACGCAUAAUUGUAGAAACCUAGGGGUUGGGAAGCUAUAAUGUUCCUACCUAGAUCACCUGGCUUCAUUUCUGUUCCAGAUGAAAACAGAGUUCCAGAGAGAUGAAGCGACUUUUUUCCCAAGGCCAAGUAGGUCGUUGCUACCAGAGCCAAGAUUAGAACCAGGUCCCCAGCUUUCCUGUUUAUAUGCUUUCUCCUACAAUGCUGUCAUCCUGUUUGUGCUCUUUCAACUGCUCAUGUACAAUCAUAGACCUUGUAGGUUCAUGUUGCAAACUGCUCCCUUAGAGAUCAUCUAACUCUUUCACUCUGCACACAAGGACAGGGAAGCCCAGUGACUUUUAAGCGAACUGUGUAGAAUCACAGAGGUUAUAAAUGUUGGGAUGGAAACUAGAGACCAGAUCCUCUGAUGCCCAACCCAGGGCUCUUUCACCCAACCCUUGCAACCUCAUCGAUGGGUGCACCUUGGAGAGGUUUUAACUCUGAACCUAGAUGCCUGUGAACUCAGUCAUAUAGCCCUCCUUUCUUCUGAGUCACACUAUUGAAGAAAAAAUAGUCGUGAUGAAACCUCUACCUCCAGUUCUCACUGUGAUUCUGUUGGUCCAUGGCAUAUCUUUGUCUUGUACAGACGGAGUGAGAGCAGUGAAUGAGGUGUUCCUGAUGGAGAAUUCUGUGGUCCUUUCCCAGCUGUGUAUGUGUCUUUGUGUUUUGUCCACUAGAGGGGUGUGUGUACUCACAGACUGAGUCCCUGCCCGGGCUCCUUAGGGUUGGAUUAGAGUGGAGACACCUAGAGGUGGAGUGAAAGAAAUGCAGGUCUGGGCCAGGCACCACGUGGGAGUAACUGGAGACCUCAGUGGAAGCUGUGCUACUUGGAAUUAGCAAAGGAAAUCAAAGUAUCCCUAGAAAAUAGAUUGCCAGGGUCCCAGAAAUUCUUUAUAGGUUAAUGCCAUACCAACUGAUACUCAAGGAGGUGGCCUGCAGUGAUAUUAUCAUCUACUGAUGAUACACUGAGAAGCUGAAAGUUUGGAUGUUCCCGUUGCAAUUUUAUCCUCUGCUCUUAGCUGCGAUGAGUACCGUUGGUGUAAUAUAUGCAUAAUGUCAUGCCAGUCCUGAUCUAUGGCCCCUGUUCCAAAGGACAUAAUGAAGGCUGCCUUAGGGAGAGAGAGAGAAGAUCUUUGAAUAUCCAUUUGCACACAGGCAGCCUCUUCACACCUGAAGUCUAUGUGCUGAGGUCCUAGAAAGACCAACGGAUUCUUUCAUCUUUAGUUAAGAUGGUAGACCACAGUGGAUCGAGAUGCAAUCUCAAGAAAAAGAUGAGAUACCCACUUCUCCUGUAGAGGGUAUAGGUGGAGUGACUCUGGAGAAGUGUUGUGUUAUUGAAAAUAGUCAGUGGCUAAUGUUUUGGACCAUCAGAAUUGAAACAAGGAAAGAAAGAGGGAGGGAGAGGAAGAGAAGGAAGGAGGGACAAGUCUGGGAGCUAGAGAGUUAGUGGUAGGCGUGAAAAAAGGAAGAAAAAGAAAACUUUAGACUUCCUUCUUCUUCCCACAGACACAGUUGUGGAAAAUAUUAUUUCAGGUCUUUGCCUGCCUUGCCUGAACAAUUGCCCUGGGUGGCAGAGUUCAUCUCAGGGCACUUCCAAGGACCUGGGCGUCCUUACCUCCAUUCUUUCUCUCUGCUUAGAGAAAGUCUAGGAGGCCUGGGAAGAUCUUGAUAACAUGCUACAUCUGAGCAGAUCAGUAUCUUUCUUGCAUCUAUUUAAAUAACACCUAGUGUCCCCAGAAGGUGUUUCUGUCACUUGAGGCUGGAUGACCUCCUGGGGGUAUUUACCUGAUGAAUGUUGGCUCUAUUUUCCCCACUUUUUCAUGCUCUGACCUGCCAACCUCAUGGAUUUCUUAAUGGCCUGUCCUUCUGAUGCUCAAGCAGUUGCCUCGAGGAGGUGGCCUGCAGUGAUAUUAUCAUCUACUGGUAUGAAGCUCACAUGGGGCUGUGUCUGAUAUGGGUAUUUCCUGACAUAGGCACUUGGCAUUGUGCACUCCAUUCACAAUCUAUGAGAAAUCGUGUUGAAUGUAUGUGAUUCCUGCCCCAUAGGAGCCUACCUAAUAUGGCCUGGGUCACAUUGGCGCACGAUGAACAAAUACAUUGAUAAAACCAUUUUACCCUUAGAGGUUUUUCAAAAUCUAUUGCCAUCUUCAGUUGACAUUGACUUGUUCCAAAAGAGUGCCCUAUAAGUCAAUAAAAAUAAUAACCAUCCUCAUCCUCAUUGUAUUAUAGCUCUUUAUAGUUUGCAGUGCACUUUCCCAGACAUCAAAUUUGAUCUGUGCACACACCUAUGAGAAUCAUCAAAGAGGCCCAGAUUUUAAGUAAAUUCCACUGAGACACACAUCUAGUAAGAGAUGGAACCAAAACUCAGAUCUAGGUUUUCUCAGAACAAGUAUAAUUUUAAAAAUUGGUAACAGUCUGUUGAGAAAUGAUAGAGCUAACGUGGGUAGUUUGGUUCUAAAAACUGGACAACUACAGUGUGAUUGAAAGAUUCAGAGAAUUUCCCAAGCCUUCUUGGAAAAAAAUAUUUCUUUUAUCUCAUUUUAAAUAUAUAUAAUUAUAGUGUAUACACACCCACAUAUAUAUAUAAAACUUUGGAAACAUAGAAAUUAUUUUUAAAAACAAAAGCUUCUCAACUCUAUAAGCCCCAGAUAACCACUUAAUAUUUUGAACUUUAAAACUGCAUAUCUAUAGCAACAAAAUUAUCAUGGCUUUCUGUUGUAUCACAGCAUUUUCUUAUGACAUUAAAUAUUCUUAAAAUCAACCUUAAUAUUUGCAUAUAUUCCACUGAAUAAAUUCACCAUAAUUUUUAAUUUUUUUAUAAUUUUCAUUUUUUUCAUUAUAUCUGGUUAAGGGUGUUCUGUCAAUUUUCUAUUGUAUAGCAUGGUGACCCAGUUACACAUCCAUGUAUACAUUAUUUUUUCUCACAUUAUCAUGCUCCAUCAUAAGUGACUAGUUAUAGUUCCCAGUGCAACACCAUAACUUUUUACAUUAUACUUUUCUUACAUUCUUAGGUUAUGUCCACCUUUCCUAUCAGAGCCUAGUGUGGCAUACUUUUCAUCUAAAAUUUUGUUUACAUUUCUAAAUACUUUCAUAAAUCCAAUUCCUAUACUUAAGCAUUUAAAAAAGUGUACACAGGAGUUCCCUGCUGGCACAUCUGGUUAAGGAUCCAGUGGUGUCACUGCUGUGGCUCAAGUCACUGUUGUGUGUGGGUUUGAUCCUUGGCCGGGGAACUUCCACAUGCCUUGGGCACAGCUGAAAAAAGGAUAUAGUGGAGUUCCCAAUGUGGCUCAAUGGGUUAAGAAUCUGACCAGUAUCCAUGAGGAUGUAGAUCCAAUCCCUGGCCUUGCUCAGAGAAUUAAGGAACUGGUAUUGCUGUGAGCUGUGGUGCAGGUCACAGAUGUGGCUCGGAUCUGGUGUUGCUGUGGCUGUGGUGUAGGCCAGAACCUGCAGCUCCAAUGUGACCCCAAGCCCGGGAACUUCUGUGCGGCCAUAAAAAGAAAGAAAAAA
rnacentral:lncRNA from 9 species